AGCAGUUCGGCUGGGCACUCUAAAGGGACUGCCGGUGUCAAACCGGAGGAAGGUGGGGAUGACGUCAAGUCCUCAUGGCCUUUAUGGCCAGGGCUACACACGUACUACAAUGGCCGGUACAAAGGGCAGCGACAUUGCGAGAUGGACGACGAAUCCCGAAAAGCCGGUCUCAGUCCGGAUUGGAGUCUGCAACUCGACUCCAUGAAGUUGGAAUCGCUAGUAAUCGUGGAUCAGCAUGCCACGGUGAAUUACCGGUUCCCGGGCCUU
rnacentral:rRNA from 1 species